AUCUUUGCGCAGUGGCAAUAUCGUAGCUAGUGAGGCUGAACCGAGGCGCGAUUAUUGCUAGUUGAAAACUUUUCCCAAUGCCCCGCCGCAGUUGCUUGAAAUAUAGUGAUGGCUGGCAGUUUUUGAUGGUCUCUACGGAGA